rnacentral:rRNA from 1 species
ACUCCUACGGGAGGCAGCAGUGGGGAAUCUUGGACAAUGGGGGCAACCCUGAUCCAGCCAUGCCGCGUGAGUGAUGAAGGCCUUAGGGUCGUAAAGCUCUUUCGCCUGUGAUGAUAAUGACAGUAGCAGGUAAAGAAACCCCGGCUAACUCCGUGCCAGCAGCCGCGGUAAUACGGAGGGGUUAGCGUUGUUCGGAAUUACUGGGGCGUAAAGCGCGCGUAGGCGGAUUAGUCAGUUAGAGGUGAAAUCCCAGGGCUCAACCCUGGAACUGCCUUUAAUACUGCUAGUCUUGAGUUCGAGAGAGGUGAGUGGAAUUCCGAGUGUAGAGGUGAAAUUCGUAGAUAUUCGGAGGAACACCAGUGGCGAAGGCGGCUCACUGGCUCGAUACUGACGCUGAGGUGCGAAAGUGUGGGGAGCAAACAGGAUUAGAUACCCUGGUAGGAUACAG